rnacentral:rRNA from 1 species
AUUGAACGCUGGCGGCAUGCCUUACACAUGCAAGUCGAACGGCAGCACGGGUGCUUGCACCUGGUGGCGAGUGGCGAACGGGUGAGUAAUACAUCGGAACGUACCCAGUAGUGGGGGAUAACGCACCGAAAGGUGCGCUAAUACCGCAUACGACCUACGGGUGAAAGCGGGGGACCGUAAGGCCUCGCGCUAUUGGAGCGGCCGAUGUCUGAUUGGCUAGUUGGCGGGGUAAAAGCCCACCAAGGCGACGAUCAGUAGCUGGUCUGAGAGGACGAUCAGCCACACUGGGACUGAGACACGGCCCAGACUCCUACGGGAGGCAGCAGUGGGGAAUUUUGGACAAUGGGGGCAACCCUGAUCAAGCAAUGCCGCGUGUGCGAAGAAGGCCUUCGGGUUGUAAAGCACUUUUGUCAGGGAAGAAAUCUUUCAGGCUAAUACCCUUGGAAGGAUGACGGUACCUGAAGAAUAAGCACCGGCUAACUACGUGCCAGCAGCCGCCGUAA